rnacentral:rRNA from 1 species
GAUGAACGCUGGCGGCGUGCUUAACACAUGCAAGUCGAACGAAGCAUUAACCUUGCUUGCAAGGGAGAUGACUGAGUGGCGGACGGGUGAGUAACGCGUGGGCAACCUGCCAUACACUGGGGGAUAACAGUUGGAAACGACUGCUAAUACCGCAUAUGCGCACAGUAUUACAUGAUACCGUGUGGAAAACUCCGGUGGUGUAAGAUGGGCCCGCGUCUGAUUAGCUAGUUGGUGGGGUAACGGCCUACCAAGGCGACGAUCAGUAGCCGGCGUGAGAGAGUGAACGGCCACAUUGGGACUGAGACACGGCCCAAACUCCUACGGGAGGCAGCAGUGGGGAAUAUUGCACAAUGGGGGAAACCCUGAUGCAGCAACGCCGCGUGAGUGAAGAAGUAUUUCGGUAUGUAAAGCUCUAUCAGCAGGGAAGAUAAUGACGGUACCUGACUAAGAAGCCCCGGCUAACUACGUGCCAGCAGCCGCUGUAA